GAUCAUGAUGAACGACAAAAUGCGUGAACAAUCUCUGAUAACUCAUCAUAGAGUUAGUAGGAUUAGAAAACCUUUGUUGCCUUCCUUCUGAUU
rnacentral:snoRNA from 1 species